rnacentral:rRNA from 1 species
UCGAGCGAACGGACGAGAAGCUUGCUUCUCUGAUGUUAGCGGCGGACGGGUGAGUAACACGUGGAUAACCUACCUAUAAGACUGGGAUAACUUCGGGAAACCGGAGCUAAUACCGGAUAAUAUUUUGAACCGCAUGGUUCAAAAGUGAAAGACGGUCUUGCUGUCACUUAUAGAUGGAUCCGCGCUGCAUUAGCUAGUUGGUAAGGUAGCGGCUUACCAAGGCAACGAUGCAUAGCCGACCUGAGAGGGUGAUCGGCCACACUGGAACUGAGACACGGUCCAGACUCCUACGGGAGGCAGCAGUAGGGAAUCUUCCGCAAUGGGCGAAAGCCUGACGGAGCAACGCCGCGUGAGUGAUGAAGGUCUUCGGAUCGUAAAACUCUGUUAUUAGGGAAGAACAUAUGUGUAAGUAACUGUGCACAUCUUGACGGUACCUAAUCAGAAAGCCACGGCUAACUACGUGCCAGCAGCCGCGGUAAUACGUAGGUGGCAAGCGUUAUCCGGAAUUAUUGGGCGUAAAGCGCGCGUAGGCGGUUUUUUAAGUCUGAUGUGGAAGCCCACGGCUCAACCGUGGAGGGUCAUUGGAAACUGGAAAACUUGAGUGCAGAAGAGGAAAGUGGAAUUCCAUGUGUAGCGGUGAAAUGCGCAGAGAUAUGGAGGAACACCAGUGGCGAAGGCGACUUUCUGGUCUGUAACUGACGCUGAUGUGCGAAAGCGUGGGGAUCAAACAGGA